UCAAGGAGGGAUUAGGCGGCCAUUCAGGUAGGUUCCCGUGGAUGGGACAAGGACAAGCCCCUUUUUUAGUUUCGUUCGGAAGAUAAGAGUUGGACACAAUUAACCCUCUGUUUCGUUGAAGGGGUGAGGAUGUAUAAUGAUCUGUUUGAUUGUAGUGCAAGGAUGGAUGAGUUGGGGCCAUCCAGAUUUUUGUGGAUGGGAUGAACCGAUUUUCUUGUUUGGUUGAAUGAGUGGUAUGAGCCUUUUUUUGUUUGGUUGGAGCAAUGGCAGUUAGUUAGGAUGAGCCUAAAUUUUGUUUGGUUUGAGCGAUAAGGAUGGACAUUGGGUUGUCUGCAAUGAUUAAGUUUUUAUUAGAGAGCUUUAGAUGUAUAAGACCUGACAAUAUGGUCGAUAUGCCUUUUGCUUUGGAGGUUGUAUGAGUAACUAUCGGAUGCCGAGGCUGGCGGUGACGGGUAGGUGCCAUGUCCGGUGGUUGGAGCAGAGAUUGGGAAAUCAGAGAAUUAGACUAGGUCUGGAAAGCAUAUAGAGGACACAUGAAGCCUAGCAGAGGAUAGAGGAUAGGUAUCCUGGGAGGAUGAUGGAUAAGUCUCUGUACUAGGGUCUUUGUGGGGCUGCAUCAAAAUGGUCCUUGUGGUUGUUAGGAUAGCAUCCUUGACCACCAAGGACAUGCAAUUAGGAUAGCAUCUUAGACUAGCAUCUUAGCAUAUGCUUGGCUGGCUAGCAGCCUAUAAAUAUAUAUCCCCAACUCUUGAGGUUGGCAUGGCAUUGUGUGAGAAAUAAACCAACGAAAAUCGCCCCAACUCUCCCAGUGUCAUCCACAACUAUCAUUGCUCAGGCUGAAACGGCUAACAAGUGGUAUCAGAGCCAGUGUUUCUUGUAGCCUGAGCAUUUCCUGCUCACCUCUCUCCCCGGGAGCUGAGCAGCCCCAACCGUUAGCAGCAGUUGCUUCGACUGCCCCUGGUUACCUUCCUCCCUCGGGACUAUCGAGCAGCAACUCGUCAGAAGCAGUUUCUUCUCCACGCAACGGCCCCCAGCGGCGAGCCAUGUCUGCAGGCCGCUCUCAGCACACGGAUACCUCGAGCACACGGCGUCGGCAGGAGGCCGAGCGCGCCGUUGCAGAGGAGCGUGAGCGAGUGGCUGCAGCAGCUGCUGCUGCGGCAGCAAGGGCGUCAAGGCUGGCUGCAGCAGAACUGGCAUCAGCCAGAGCGGAGGUAGAAGCAGCCAGGGCAGAGGUAGAAGCAACAGCAGCAACGGAGGCAACACGUGAGGCUACGGCGGAUGCCAAGGCACUCCGUUGUGGCUCCGGCAGUUCCAACGGCUCCGCGCCUGCGGACGACGGCGCCGACGCAGACCGUGCCAAUGUGGCGCGAGAGCGGACAACGCAGUGGGCAGCCGAGCACGCCUGCGCACAUCGCGAUGGCGCUCCAGGUGGAGGUGCGCACGGCGACGACGGCUGCGACGACCAGGACCGUGGCCUAUACGAGGUCCGGGAUGUUGGUCCCGGUGUUGGGUGGCCUACCCUCACCAAAACUAACUACGUCGAGUGGGCUGCGAUCAUGAAGAUCAGGUUCUAGGUGUGGCACCUGUGAGAGGCGGUCCAGGACAACAACGUCGACCACCAUGAGGAUCGACGGGCGUUGGACGCCCUCAUCAACGCAGUCCCUGCCGAGAUGCAGUUCUCGCUUUCCAACAAGUGGGCUGCCAAGGAGGCUUGGGACGCCAUCAUCGCGGCACGCAUCGGCAGCGACCGUGCUCGCAAGUCCACACUGCAGACACUUCGUAAGGAGUGGGAGAGCCUGGCCUUCAAGCCAGGUGAGGACGUUGAUGACUUUGCUCUCCGUCUCAACACUAUGCUGCAGAAGAUGGUGAAGUUCGGCGAUGCCACCUACACCGAGGAGAGAGCUGUCGAGAAGCUUUUUCGGUGCAUCCCCGAGAAGUACAAGCAGAUGGCUCGCUCGAUCGAGUCUUUGCUGGACCUCUCCACAAUGACGAACGAGGAGGCGAUAGGUCGCCUCAAGGUCGUCGACACCGACGAGCCAUAAUCUCUCUCGUGGCCCAUCACCACCGGCGGAAAGCUGCUCCUAUCUCGGGAGCAAUGGGAUGCGGACAACGGUGACAGGAAGAUGGGGGAGCCCUCUUCCACGGCGUGCGGCCGCAAGCAGCGCAAGGCGCGAAGAGGCGCCUCGGGCAAGGCACAAGGACGUGCCGAAGGUGAUGCCCGUGGAGGCGUCGUUGGCAAGCCCAAGCCGGCACAGGACAACAGUUGCCACAACUGUGUCCGGCUUGGCCAUUGGGCCAAUGAGUGUCGGCAGCCACGACACGACCAGGCUCACGUCGCACAGGCGGAGGAGGAGACGACUCUGUUCAUGGCGCAUGCAAGCAUCGAGCUACCUUCAGCGACACCAGCCGCAAAGGCUCUCCUCCACCUCGACGAGCCAAAAGCACACUCUCUUCUCGGCGAUGGCUCCGGGAAGGACAAGCCUGCGGGGUGGUGCCUCGAUACCGGCGCCACCCACCACAUGACCGGUCAAAGGGAAUUCUUCGCCGAGCUCGACUCCGACGCGCGAGGCUCUGUCAAGUUUGGGGAUGUCUCUGCCGUGGAAAUUAAGGGCGUCGGCUCCGUCAUCUUCACCACCAAGACGGGAGAGCAUCGGCUGCUCACCGGUGUCUACUACAUCCCCGCGCUAAGGAACUCCAUCAUCAGCUUGGGACAGCUGGAUGAGAACGGCUCACGCGUGCUGAUUGAGCAUGGGGUCCUACGCAUUUGGGAUCGCCAGCGCCGCCUUCUCGCCAAGGUACCCAGAGGUGAAAAUCGAGUCUACGUCCUUGACGUGCAGGUGGCACAACCCGUCUGUCUCGCUGCCCGUCGGGACGACGAGGCGUGGCAAUGGCAUGAGCGCUUUGGGCACCUUCAUUUCGAGGCCCUGAAGCGUGUAAGUGGCAAGGAGAUGGUGCGAGGCCUGCCAUACCUCGACCGUGUGGACCAGUGUUGCGACACCUGCGUGUUGACGAAGCAGAGGCGACUCCCCUUUCCUCAGCAAGCAAGUUUCCGGGCCAAGGAGAGGCUUGAGCUCGUGCACGGGGACCUGUGCGGCCCGGUGACGCCCUCCACACUAGGAGGUCAAGGCUACUUCCUGCUGCUCGUCGACGACCUCUCUCGCUACAUGUGGGGGAUGGUCCUUGGCAGCAAGGGUGAGGCGGCGGACGCCAUCAGGCGCGCGCAUGUUGCUGCGGAGGCGGAGAGCGGCCACGAACUGCGCGUGCUGCCCACUAACAAUGGCGGCGAAUUCACGGCGGCUGAAUUCGCGCUGUACCGCGCUGAUGAGGGCAUCCAGCGCCACUACUCCGUGCCGUACAGCCCGUAGCAGAACGACGUCGUCAAGCGAUGCAACCAGACGGUUGUGGGGAUGGUUCGGGCUCUCGUCAAGCAGAGAGGGAUGCUGGCUGUUUUCUGGGGAGAGGCGGUGCUGAUGGCCGUCUACAUCCUCAACCGCUCGCCUACUAAGGCACUCGACGACAGGACACCGUACAAGGCCUGACAUGGGCGGAAGCAGGCGGUCUCCCACCUGCGGGCCUUCGGCUGCCUCGCGUUCGCCAAGGAGCUCGGCCACAUCGGCAAGCUCGACGACAGGAGCACUCCGGGAGUAUUCAUCGGCUACGCGGAGGGUUCGAAGGCCUACCGCAUCCUCGACCCAAAGACACAGCGUGUGCGCACGGCGCAAGACAUCGUGUUCAACGAAGGGCGAGGAUGGGCAUGAGACAAGGCAGUGACGACGGCUUGACUCCGACGUACGACGACUUCAUUGUCGAGUACGUCCACUUCAAGGAAGCCGGGGGAGUAAGCAGCUCCUCUUCGCCGAGCACGUCUACCCCAGUUCCCAAAACUCCAUCGAUCCCGGUGUCUGCCACGUCGAUGGCACAACAACCAGCGACACCACGUACUCCAACACCGGCAGUCACCCUUCCAGGCUCGUCUUCAUUAGCACCAGCUCAAGUCGAGCACGGCCCGAUGGAGUUCGCUUCCACGCUCUCUCACGAUGAGGAGCGCAUCGACGCGUAUCAUGGCGGCGAACCGCUGCGGUAUCGUACGAUGGAAAACCUACUCGGCGACCAGCCGGUGUUGGGAUUGGUGCCACGCGACCUGGAGGCGCAGCUACAACUUGCGUGUGAUGACGGCAAACCUCGGUCCUUUGCAGAGGCUGAGAGAAACGCGGUUGCAUAUGGACACGGUCGAGCAGAACCCCACCCGGGAGCUCGCUGACCUCCCUCAUGGUCACCGCGCGAUCACCCUUAAGUGGGUGUUCAAGCUGAAGAGGGAUGAAGCCGACGCCAUCGUCAAACACAAGGCUCGCUUGGUGGCCCGAGGCUUCUUGCAACAGGAAGGAGUCGACUUCGACGACACUUUCGCUCCCGUGGCAUGGAUGGAGUCCGUGUGACUUCUCCUUGCGCUAGCUGCCCAGGAGGGCUGGCGUGUCCAUCACAUGGAUGUCAAGUCGGCGUUCCUCAACGACGUCUUGAAGGAGGAAGUCUACGUGCAUCAGCCGUCGGGAUUUACUAUCCCCGGCCAGGAGGGUAAGGUACUGCGCAUGCGUAAGGCUCUCUAUGGCCUACGACAGGCACCUAGGGCGUGGAACGCCAAGCCGGACUCCACGCUAAAGAAGAUGGGCUUCGAGCAAAGCCCGCAUGAGGCAUCCGUCUACGGACGGGGCAGUGGAGGAAAUGCCCUGCUGGUGGGCGUCUAUGUUGACGACUUGGUGAUCACCGGCAUCAAGGAUGCAGAGGUGGCGGCGUUCAAGGAAGAAAUGAAGGCCACCUUCCAGAUGAGUGAUCUGGGGCUCCUCUCCUUCUAUCUAGGGAUCGAGGUGCAUGAGGAUCACUCCGGGAUCGCGAUUCGACAGUCCGCCUAUGCCAAGCGCAUCGUUGAGCUAGCUGGGCUCACCGACUGCCACCCAGCUCUCACUCCGAUGGAGGAGAGGCUGAAACUGAGCCGCGACAGCAUGACGGAGGAAGUGGACGUUGCGCAGUACCGACGCCUUGUGGGGAGCCUUCGCUACCUCGCCCACACACGGCCGGACUUGGCAUUCUUCGUCGGCUACGUCAGUCGGUUCAUGGAGCGACCGACGACGGAGCACCAGCAGACAGUGAAGAGGAUCAUCCGCUACGUGGCGGGGACCCUCGACCACGGCCUCCACUACCAUAGGUGUCCGGGGGCGGCACACUUCGUCGGGUACAGCGACCACGCCGGCGACAUCGAUACCAGCAAGAGCACGAGCGGGAUCCUCUUCUUCCUCGGCAAAUGUCUCGUGAGCUGGCAGUCGGUCAAGCAGCAGGUGGUGGCCCUGUCCAGCUGCGAGGCUGAAUACAUAGCGGCCUCCACCGCCUGCACUCAGGCGCUCUGGCUCGCUCGACUGCUUGGUGAUCUCCUCGUCCGAGACACCAGAACGGUGCAGCUCCUAGUGGACAGCAAGUCCGCCCUGGCCCUGGCAAAGAAACCUAUUUUCCACGAACGAAGCAAGCACAUCCGACUGAGGUAUCACUUCGUCCGAAGCUGUUUGGAUUAAGGGAGCAUCAAGGCGAGCUACAUCAACACCAUGGACCAGCUCGCAGACCUGCUCACCAAGCCUCUUGGGAGGAUCAAGUUCCUCAAACUCUGCUCUAGGAUCGGGAUGAUUCGACUCUCCGACAAGACGACGUACAAGACUUAGGGGGAGAAUGAUGGAUAAGUCUCUGUACUACGGUCUUUAUGGGGCUGCAGCACAAUGGUCCUGUGGCUGUUAGGAUAGCAUCCUUGACCACCAAGGACUGGCAGUUAGGAUAGCAUCUUAGACUAGCACCUUAGCAGCAUCUUAGACUAACAUCUUAGCAUAUGCUUGGCUGGCUAGCAGCCUAUAAAUAUGUAUCCCCAACCC
rnacentral:lncRNA from 1 species